GGUGUUUGAAUUUCCCUUUAGUCAGGGAAUCAUACAAUGGAAGAAUAUUGUUUAAUAUAUGUACAAAAAUUUAGCUCAACAGGUUGCUCCUAUGUCCCUUAAGCUUUAUUUCGUCUUGGAUUUUUAGGUUAAAAUGGGAGAAUUACAACAAGAAGAAGAUAAGUUUACCUCUGAUUCUGAUGUCUUUACUAAGUUGUCCAGGAGUAACCAAGUGAUCGUCAUUAUCGCUGUUGUUUAGGUGGAUAUGUUUGUAAGCUGCCAAAAUUGAUAUCGAACGUUGCAGCUCUAGUCUUCAAGCAAAGAUCGUAGAUUUGCAAGUCCCUCGGCGGAUAUACUUUUCCUUAUUCUUGAUCUUUGAAAAACAACUGGAGGUGGAGGCUCGGAGUGAAAACAGACCAUGACUACUGUUAAGUUGUCUAUGGCACCGCGUUUUUUGGCCUCGUCUAUCAUUUCCUUGCAGCAUCUCUUUACAUUGUUAUGGUCCUGCAGUCUCCUCCGAGCAAAAUCAACUGCAUUUUGGCUUCGGAAAACAUCCCAUAUCCCAUCACUACCGAUGAUCAGGAACUCGUCCUCCUUUGUCAAUGUCAGCAGUUUCAGUUCAGGUUCAGCGCUCAAUGGUCCGCCCUUCUCAACUUCCUUCAAUCCUUUAAUAUGCCAGUUACCUAAAGCCCG
rnacentral:misc_RNA from 1 species